rnacentral:rRNA from 1 species
ACAAUGGGGGGUACAGAGGGCCGCUACCACGCGAGUGGAUGCCAAUCCCUAAAACCCCUCUCAGUUCGGACUGGAGUCUGCAACCCGACUCCACGAAGCUGGAUUCGCUAGUAAUCGCGCAUCAGCCACGGCGCGGUGAAUACGUCCCCGGGCCUUGUACACACCGCCCGUCAAGCCAUGGGAGCCGGGGGUACCUGAAGUGCGUAACCGCGAGGAUCGCCCUAGGGUAAAACUGGUGACUGGGGCUAAGUCGUAACAAGGUAUC